rnacentral:lncRNA from 1 species
AGGGAGGGUAACCAUCCUCCGGAAAGUCAAACAAUUCGUCAUCUAACUUUGAUAGAUUCAAGUUUUCACUUAUUAGGCACUAGGUUUGCUAUACGUGACCUUGAAGUGUAUUAUUAGUUUGAGUAGCAUUCAUAUGUAUCUCUAGAGCUUACAAAGCAUUGCAUUACAGGUUCAAUCUAUUUGUUAGGAUCAUACAAGCACAAAGCAUUCCUUAAAAAGUUGAACCUAUCUUUA